CAUAACCCGAUAUUUCUGAAGCUGUCGGUUCCUAUACUUGGAAAUUCUCGGAGGUAACGAUAUUUCUGUCGGGCGUGCGCGGGUGGUCCUCGCUCGUGGAUAUUCACUAUCGACAUCGGAGGAGGAUGAUUGAAGUCGGUGAUUUAAAAUUUACGCGAGUGCCGACGAAUUACAUAAAUAUUGCCACAAUAAUACUUCCGAUUCAACCGAAUUAAAAUUUGAUUUCUGUCACCGUGUGUAUUCAACGGAGCGACAACGAAGUGCGUUCGCUAUCGCGCAAAUCCGGGAAAAUAAAAAUGCCAUUACGAGACGUUCGGAAUAAAAACAACGGGGACCGCGGCGACGAGAGACCAGCGAUUCGAGGAUCAUGCAGGAUUUCAUAUCGAUGUAACGCGCUAUCUGGCUAGCUACGAGUGGAAAGGACACAGGGGGGAUCUGAAUCAUUGGGAGAUUCCACAUAUCUCGUAUUCGUACCCGUAGUAUCGGAGACCCUCGGAAUUGUAUCGCAUUCGCGACGAUAAAUAAGCGAGGACAAUACAGGACGCACACCGUACGGUAUCGUUCCCCGCCACCGCGCUGGACACGUACGGAACCCAUAAAGCGAGAUGAUCUUCUUCCUCCAUUCCUCUCUUCGUGGGAGCACGCGCUUCAUCUGACGUAUGGGAUCACUACCGAAAGCCAUAGAUAAUCGGAUGCGAUUCUGUCACACGAGAGGUACGCGCGCGCGGAUGGGAACGUCGCAGCUUCUAGAUUGCUCGCCGAAAAAAAUGUCUACCGCACAAAUGCGGCACAAAUUUGUAACGCGUAUAGAGGGAACAACAAUUGCGUUGAAAUCAAGACAAUGGGACAGAAGUACGAUAUCUCCGCGAGCUUUCACCUGCAAGUUUUCGCGCACAAUGGCACGAAAGCAGGAUCCCGUCCGUCUUUCACCGUUUGUUUGCGUACAAUCGCGUGACGGGACACUCAAUCUACCUUCGACGAAUCGCUCUCGUAUCUACGCGAAGAUCGUAGCGUAUAAAGAUAAUCGCGGUACAAACUACACGCCUUACAUAUCUCCGGUCAGAAAUUACGUCUUCCAGGUAGCGCGAUCAAGUUUACGAGCGGGGCGACGCGAGGUACGUAAUCGUCUCGUAAAAGCCAUAAUCGCGAGGCCUACAUAAAAUCCCUUGCGCGCACGAGAUCUUGAAACACCUUGCCACUAAUCCUACCCCCGUGCCCGGGAUUCCGCCGUUACUUCCUACGUGCUGUAUUGCUUGGGCUAAUCCCAGAGAAAAUCGUAUCGUCAUCGAGAGCGCUUCCAUUGGAUCGCUCGAACUUUGGAAACCUCGUGCUUUCUUGUUCAAUAAAUAAGCGCACGAUGGGAUACAGUCUCUACUCAUUCAGAUUUUUUUAUAUUUUAAGUGGAAAACUAGAGUUCAGUAUUUUGAUUUUAAUAUUGCGAAACACAAUUUUUGAAUUUUAAUGUAGAUACACUAAGGUAAACGUACCAGUGCAGGCUGAACGUGUAUCUAUGUCUGAACAAGUACACAAAGAUUUAUUUUUAAAUGAUUUUUUUCAUAAUAUUAUAAUUUAAUUGUAACCUUUAAAUAUUUUUA